rnacentral:tRNA from 1 species
GCACCCGUAGCUCAGGGGAUAGAGCGGCGGCUUCCGGAGCCGCGCGUCGGGGGUUCGAAUCCUCUCGGGUGUA